rfam:Triticum aestivum genome assembly, contig: Triticum_aestivum_CS42_TGACv1_scaffold_622568_7DS
CAUAUACUCCCUCCGUCCGAAAAAGCUUGUGCCAAGGUUGUCCCUCAAAUGGAUGUAACUAGCACUAACUUGGUGCUAGAUACAUCCAUUUGAGUGACAAUCUUUUUUGGACGGAGGGAGUACAUG